AAACCAAACAAAGCAACGAGUUUUUGACAAACCUACACCGAAACCCUCGUCGCCGCCGCCUGCCUGCCUCACCGUCCUCCACCUUCCGCCUCGAACCCCGCCCUUCCCCACCGGCGAGCCUCUCCCAGCCAACGUCUGAGACAAGGUUACCUUAAUAAUGGAGUCAGAUCUGCUCAUUAGGCAGGAGAAAGUGGAGGACAAAGGAGACUAUGAUGUUAGCAAGAGGAUGAUGGACAUUCUUUUCUGGGAUGUCAUCGACCCAAAUGAAGCUGUCUUGGAACCCAAUGAAGUUCUGCUGAAGCGGCCUGCAGUGGAAGGUAAGUUGCAUGACCCAAAAAUCGUUGGCCUGUCAAACGACCUAAAGAAUCAAGAUCAGCAUGCCGUAUAACCGUAUAUAAGCACUGACUUUCUUGUAUUUAUGAAAACAUACUAAUGCUAGAUUAGUUUAUGUGGUUAUGUUCGUAGGUUCGCAAGAAAUAUAAUGAUAUGAUAUAGUAAUUCCUCCAGUUCAAAAUAAUUUCCCAAAAAUGGAUGUAUCUAGACAUGUUUUAGUGUGUAGAUACAUCCAUAUUUGGGCAAUUAUUUUGAACCGGAGGGAGUACUAAACUAAUUGUAGCUGUGUAAACGAAAUUUACUAAGUGCAAUGGUCGAUUUAGUG